rnacentral:rRNA from 1 species
AAAAGCCGGAGAACGGGCAUCCAUCGUUUACCGUGCGGACUACCAGGGUAUCUAAUCCUGUUCGAUACCCGCACCUUCGAGCCUCAGCGUCAGUGGUGCUCCCGCAAGCUGCCUUCGCAAUCGGGGUUCCUCGUGAUAUCUAAGCAUUUCACCGCUACACCACGAAUUCCGCCUGCGUCGCGCACACUCAAGUGGACCAGUUCGCGCUGCAAGUCAGACGUUGAGCGCCUACAUUUCACAACACGCUUAAUCCACGGCCUACGCUCCCUUUAAACCCAAUGAAUCCGGAUAACGCCCGGACCUUCCGUAUUACCGCGGCUGCUGGCACGGAAUUAGCCGGUCCUUAUUCAUGCGGUACCUGCAGGGGGCCACGCGUGGCCCCGGUUAUCCCCGCAUAAAAGCAGUUUACAACCCAUAGGGCCGUCAUCCUGCACGCUACUUGGCUGGUUCAGGCUUCCGCCCAUUGACCAAUAUUCCUCACUGCUGCCUCCCGUAGGAGUUUGGACCGUGUCUCAGUUCCAAUGUGGGGGGCCUUCCUCUCAGAACCCCUACCGAUCGAAGCCUUGGUGGGCCAUUGCCCCGCCAACAAGCUAAUCGGACGCAUCCCCAUCCGCAACCGGCCGAAGCCUUUGCUCCACCAAAGAUGCCCAAAGUGGAGGACAUCGGGGAUUAGUCUGCCUUUCGGCAGGUUAUACCCGAGUCGCGGGAAGGUUGGAUACGCGUUACUCACCCGUGCGCCGGUCGCCAUCGGGGUUUGCAAGCAAACCCCAUGCUGCCCCUCGACUUGCAUGUGUUAAGCCUGUAGCCAGCGUUCAUCCUGAGCCGCCGACCCUCGCGGUCACGGACUUCAGGCGCCCCCGGCUUUCAUGGCUUGACGGGCGGUGUGUACAAGGCCCGGGAACGUAUUCACCGCGCCAUGGCUGAUGCGCGAUUACUAGCGAAUCCAGCUUCGUGGGGUCGGGUUGCAGACCCCAGUCCGAACUGGGACCGGCUUUGAGGAUUGGACCGCACUUGCGCGCGGCCGACGCUCUGUACCGGCCAUUGUAACACGUGUGUAGCCCCGGACGUAAGGGCCGUGCUGAUUUGACGUCGUCCCCACCUUCCUCGCACCUUGCGGCGGCAGUGUCCCCGGAGUGCCCGGCAUCACCCGAUGGCAACUGGGGAGGGGGGUUGCGCUCGUUAUGGCACUUGAGCCGACACCUCACGGCACGAGCUGACGACAACCAUGCAGCACCUUCACAGASGCCCCGAAGGGCMUCAYCAUCUCUGRAUCUUWCCUCUGCAAUUCAAGCCCGGGUAAGGUUCCUCGCGUAUCAUCGAAUUAAACCACAUGUUCCUCCGCUUGUGCGGGCCCCCGUCAAUUCCUUUGAGUUUCACCGUUGCCGGCGUACUCCCCAGGUGGGAUGCUCAAUGCUUUCGCUCGGUCCCCCG